UUAACCGGACGUACAAUGGUGAUCAUUUCGCACCAGAUGCAAACGGCGCAUUGUCGCGUCGUCCACCUGAAGCUUACAUCACGUGGUACAUGAAUUAUGCCGCAGUUACACCACAUCAUCUUCCGAACAGGAUGGUAGAAAAGGACUUGUAGGGAGAAUCCUGCCUCUCUGGUAGGAGAAGCCGCUCUGUAAAAUCAUCAUGAUAUCGGCAGCAGCGUCGUCAGCAGCAGCCGGCCUUCAGCUCCGUUACUAACGCUGUCAAAAAUGCACAGAUCCCUUUCUCAGCUGCCCUGAAGUCACAUGUGUCCCCAGGAAAAACCACGAGAUUCUCCACAUCACUGACAGAUACCCCAGUGUACUGAGCACACCGUUCCUAAAAGCUGGAAAUUCGGCAAGUGGCUGCGUAACAGCUCAUUUGGUUGAAAAUCCCUUUGGAGGGAGUCUUAUCAAAGCCAAUUCCCUGUCUACGUAAAAUCUGGUGCCUCUGAGUUCA